AAAGCACGUGGGCAGAGCUGUGAGCUGUGUGGGUGCCACUGGUGGAGAUGCGGGUGCCUAGGAUGUAGCGCCAGCGUUCCUUGCGGAUUGGAAACUCUGAAGAGCAUUUCCCUUAAGUUCCUUGGAUAAUUAACUUUAGUUUCCGGAUAGAGUAGCGUUAGAGAACAUAUCUUGAUCUACCCUCAGGACCGUAGAAAUUCUAUGAAUUGCUAAGGAAUUCUAUGAGUUCUUAGGUAAACCCUUUGUAUGACAUGCGUGUAAAUUCUUAUACUUUAAUAGGAGCAGUGUGUGUACAUCAUACGCUGCUAUGUUACAACCGCGUGGCAAAAAUAUAUCCGUACCCAGGCCAAAGUUGUUCCUUUUGCAUUAGUUGGAUACUGUUUCAUAUGACGUUGAAACAUAUUAAAUUCAAGUACCCAAAGAUUUAUAUAGUUUAACUCCUGCUAAAGCAAGAAAUAUAUGUAUGGAAACACACAAGCUGAUCUAAGUCAAGAAGAAAUUACAACUUUGCUUUUCACAUGGAAUUUUCUGUUAACAGCUUUUUUUUUUUUGACAAACAGCAAUUAAGUUUAACUUUAAAAAGUCUAUGCUACAGGAGUCCCAAGACAAUUCAAUGGGGAAAGAAUAUUCUUUUCAACAAACGGUAGUAGAACAACUCAAUCUCACCAUACAAAACAAAGAAACUGGAUCCCUACCUCACAUCACACAUAAAUAUUAAUUCAAAAUGUAGCAAAGACCUAAAUGUAAGAGCUACAGUUAUGAAAUUCUUAGAAGAAAACACAGGUGUAAAUCUUCAUUAUCUUGGAUGGGAAACUGUUUCUCAAAUGACACCAAAAGCAUGAGAAGUGAAAUUUUAAAAAAAGAUAAAUUGGACAUCAUCAAACAAAAAACUAGUGCUUCAAGAUACCAUCAAGAAAGUGAAAAGACAACUCACAGAAGAUGUCUGCAAAAUAUUACUGAUAAAGGACUUGUAUCUAGACUACAUAAAGAACUCUUACAACUCAAUGAUCAAAAGACAGACAACCCAAUUAAAAAUCGUCAAAUGAUAUGAACAGACUUUUCUCCAGAGAUGAUAUACAAACAGCAAUAAGCACGUGAAAAGAUGCUCAAUAUUACUCAUCAUUAAACGAAAUGCAAAUCAAAACCAUAUGACCACUUUUCACCCACAAAAAAAUAAUACAGACAAUAUAAGUACUGCAAAGAAUGUGAAGAAACUGGAACUCUCAUACACUGCUGGAGAGAAUAUAAAAUGGCACAGUUGCUCUGGAAAAGUCUGGAAGUUCCCCUAAAAGAUAACAGAUGACCCAGCAAUUCCAUUCCUAAGUCUACACUCCAGAGAAAUGAAAACACAGUCACACAAAAAUGUAUACACAAAUGUACAGAAAUAUUCUUAAUAGUCAAUAAAUAGAAACCCAAGUAUACUUAACUGAAAUGUCCUCAACUGAAGGAUGAAGAAAUGUACAUCCACAUACUAGACAAAUAUAUACUAAAACAUCAUUCAGCCAUAAAAAAGAAUAGUGCUUUGAUAAAUGCUACAACAUGAAAGAACUUUGAAAACAUUAUGCUACAUGAAAUGAGGCAGACACAAAAAGACAGAUCUUGUAUAACUACUUAUAUGAAAUAGAAGAAACCCAGAACAGGCAAAUUUACAGGGAAAAACAGUAGACUAUAGAUAUCCAUGGAUUGGGAGAAAAGGGAAAAGGACAGCUAUUGCUUAAUGAGUACAAAGUUUCUGUUCGGGAUGAUGAAAAAAUUUCAAAAUAGUGGUGGUGAUUGUACAACACUGUGAAUGUGAUUACUGCUACUGAAUUAUAUACAUUAAAAAUGGUUAAAAUAGCAAA